CCUACAUAUACCUUUAAAAAAUAAAUAGUAUAGCUAGGUAAAAAAAAAUCUUUUGUAAUUUCUUAAUUAGCCUUCAUUUGGGGAUAGGAUGGAGAGGCUGACCUACAAAGAGGCAGAUUUGGGAUGCCAUGGAGUGUUCUGCCAGUUUAGAUGUCAAAUUCUGGGUGGAAGAAUUGACUUUCUGCAAGGAGAACUCCUAGCUUGGAUGUUGCAUUCAUGGGGUUCUUUUCUCCAUUACCAAUUGUUCACUCUGCACAGGCAAUUUCCUGCCAUUUCACCAGUGCUGAUUGCCACUACAUCGACGUGAAGGGCACCAUUCAAGAAAACAUUAAGAAGUUGUGGGAAUAGCAGACAGAUUGUAUGGAACUGAAAGUGGCUUAAACUUGAAGGUACACUUGCAUGAAAAAAUCAAGAUGUUUGAAGUUUCUUGUUUUCAUGUGCUUAAUUCAUUCCUAAUUUAAUUUGAAAUGAAGGAUAAGGGGAAUUCUGUAUGCAUAGGAGCAAACUUAAAGGUUUGGGACUUCAAUCGGGCCUCCUUUCUUGGCAAAGUAUAUUUUUAUUAGGAAAUCCAGUCAGACUCCACAGAGCAGUUCUGGGGUCAGUGUUCCUUUUGGUAAAUGUGCAUCUGGAGUUUUAUGAGAGGCAUAAUGUGCAUGGAUCAGAGAUGAACACAUCUAAGGGGGCAUUAGACAGUGUUUCAUGUGCUUUCCUAAUUGAUACACAUCACUUGGAAAGUGUCUGUUUUUAAGUGGUGGAUAUUCCAUGAUGCUUAUGAGCAGAAGGCAAAUUAUCAAUCCAGGGAAUUAAAUAAACAUCUUCACUUUAACACACAUUUUAGGCCCUGAAUCAAGAAGCACUUCCUAUUUAUUUUAUUGGUAUGAGAUAAUGAUAAUGCAGGCAUGCCCCUUCCCCCAAGAGACUGAGAGUGAUGAUGACUCUGGGCCAUCCAGGAUGUUGUAAGGCUCAGCACAUCAGAGGGAUGCCACAGUGCCAUUGGGAACCUUUGGAACAGCUUUCCAGGGUGGGGAAUCUUGAUUCUCCUUUUAGAACCUACCAAUUUGUCCCUUGUCUAAAAAAUGCUCCAUGAUUGGGGAUUCAACCAAGUGAAAUAUUGGAAAAAAUAUUCAGAAUAUUAAACAAUAUUUGAAAAAAAAAUGCAUCUGUACUGAACAUGUACAGACUUUUUUUUUCCUAAUCAUUAUUUCCUACCUAAAAACUACCUCAUGUUUCUAUUGCACCAGGUGCUGUAAGUAAUCUAGGGGUGAUUUAAAAUAUAUGGGAGUAUGUACAGAGGUUAUUUUAUUGCAGGGACAUGAGCACCCAUGAAUUUUGGGUAGCUGAGGGGUCCUGGAAUGUACAUUACAUUUGAAGUUUGUGAAGGUUGUCCUGAAUGAACACCACUAUUUUAGUAUCUCAUAAGUUAGAGCUUAUCAGAUAUAUUUAGAGUAACAAUAGAAUAAUAGAAUAACAAUACAAACUCAUAAUUCUAACUUAUAAAAACACUUCCAUGGGGCUGGGGUUGAGACUCAGCGGUAGAGUGCUCACCCAGCAUGUGCAAGCACUGGGUUCAAUCCUCAGCAUCACAUAAAAAUAAAUAAAUAAAUAAAACAAAGGUAUUGUGUCCAAUUACAAAUAAAAGAAUUUGAAAAAACAAAAAAUACAUCCAUGUCCCAUUUCUGAUUUUCUUUACCAGAAUGCAGUGAACACUUGCUGUAAAGGAGAAAUUGGAGUCCCAGAGACUGGCCUAAGAAACAGAGCUAGAUUUCAAAGUCAGGCCUAAUUCUGAAAUCAUUAUUUUCACCAUACCUUGCUGUAUGCUCAUCAAUAAAAAAGAAACAAGAAAUUAGAAGGUCUCAAUUGCUUUAUUAAUAAUUGCAGCAGGGUGCAUUGUGGCACAUGCCUGUAAUCCCAGCUACUUCACAGUUUGGCUGAGGCAGGAGGAUUGCAAGUGAGGCCAGCCUCAGCAACUUAGUGAGCCCUUGUCUCAAAAUGGAAAAUAAAAAGCCUGGGGAUAUAGAUCAGUGGAGAGUGGCCCUGGUUCCAUCUCCAGUACCCGCUCCCCACACCCAAGUAAACCAGUAUCCAUGGUAGCAUGUUCACUACUACAAUGUCAUCAGAGUUGCCACCUCAAAGUGGUUCAGGCAAGUAACAAAAAGACAAGCCGAGAUAAGGGUUGUAAACUGUUGUGACUCAGCAUCACAGCCACACUCCUGGUGCAUUACCUGUGAUCAGCGAGGUCGACAGCUUGGGGAUCCACCGACUCCAUGUUGUUGGCAUUGUUUUAAUUGUUGGCAAGAGAAUUAAUUGCAGUUUCAAAGCUUGUUUAUUUAUUAAUCAAUAUAACAAUCAUAGCAUUGUUUUCCUAUUUAACCAUUUGUAGAGCC
rnacentral:lncRNA from 1 species